CCUAAGGCCAAUCAGAGGUUUCAGGCCUGCUUUUGUAAGGGAUUCCCCACCCCCACCCCCACACACAACUAGUCUCAGGGAAGUUUCUUAUUCCCAGGGAAGUUUCUUAUUCCCAAAGAUCUCCAGAAGAGUUUUCCUGGCUCUUUGUUUGUCCCUAUUAUGGUGUCCUACCUUCUCAUUGACAAUUUCUCCCCCUGGUUAGAGUAAGUGACCCUCUUUAUUAACAUUGACAGUCGUUUCAUUCCUCUUCUUUCCUCUUGGCCCACUUUGCUAAUGGAUAUCCCUCUUUGGUGGGAUAAUGAUGUUGGUUACUCUUAGCCUCUCCUCUACAACACUUGUCCCACUCACCCAUCACCACCACCACCACCACCACCACCAUCAUCACCACCACCAUACACACACACACACACACACUCUCACACUCACACAGCCCUGCCUUCUUCCCCAAGAAGCUAUUUUCUCUCCCUUUCUUUUGAGUGGGAUUGGGCAUGCUGUCCGUUCUUACUACCUCUCAUCAACUUCUCUACCUCCUUUCCAGAUUUAAUGGGAGCUCCCACCUGUUCAGACACUAUAUAAGACACAAGAAGUAGAAGCCUAUAAGCCUGCUUCUCUCCAUCCUCAUUGCCCAGAACCAGGCAGGUCAUGAGCUUCCAGUGCUCACCCCACCCUUCUUGCUGCCAGGUGUGGAAACGGAGACCCAGAGAGGAAAAAUCAGUUGAAUCUUGUCCUGCAAUUGCUUUGUGUUCCUGGCUUUGGAGAGUUCCUGGGAACCCAAGGAAAGCUCCCGAAGCCAUGGAGGAGGGGAAAGAAGGCAUCUCAGAGGUGGCACUGCUGUGAUAUCUAUCUAUCAGCACCCAAGGAGGCCAAGGAGAAGAAACAGUGACCAGAGAGGGAGCCAGGAGGAGAUGCCUGCUCUUGAAAUAGCCUCUUUAUCCCAUCCUCUCCAGCGCCCCCUCUCACAUGCUGACAAGGCUGUGUGCCCAAGUGUGCCAGCUCUCCUGGCUGGCAAUCCUGCACUGCCGUGCAGGCAUCCAGCUCUCUGCUCCGGCACAGAGCACAUGCUGGGAUCUCUCACACUCCUUUGCUCACUCAUCUCAACAUGUCCGUGUUGCAGAUUCCUAGGGAUGAAAGAGGAAGCUGUGGCUCUGGAGACGAGACCAUCUCUGCUCCCCCAGCUCUCCCUGGCAGCAUUGGGAGCCCAGGGCCCCCUGCUGGAAUACCGAUAA
rnacentral:lncRNA from 1 species